GCGCGCGGUCACGGGGCUCGCUCCCGAGGGGCAGGUCGGGGCUGGGAGCUGGUGCCCGGGUCGGGGUGGCGGCGGCGGCCUGGGUCGCGGGGUCGACGCUCGCUGCUGCAGCGGCAGAGGCUGAAGGAUCCGCCGCGGCGCUGUCGCGGGAGAGGGAGGGCCCCGCUGCCGUCGGUGAAACCAGCCCAGAGAAGUUACGGGAUUUGCCCCCGGGGCUCCUGCCCAGCAAGCCAGCGCCGUGACCCAGGUGUGGGGGAUGAUGGUGACGCUUCUCACUCACGUGUGAAGGCUGGAGUGCAUUGGUGUGAUCUUGGCUCACUGCAACCUCCAUCUCCCCGCUGCUCUCCCUGAGCCUCGAU
rnacentral:lncRNA from 10 species